rnacentral:rRNA from 1 species
AGCAGCAGCCGCGGGAAAACGGAGGGGGCUAGCGUUGUUCGGAAUUACUGGGCGUAAAGCGCACGUAGGCGGCUUGGUAAGUUAGAGGUGAAAGCCCGGUGCUCAACUCCGGAAUUGCCUUUAAGACUGCCGAGCUAGCAGGUGAGAGAGGUAAGUGGAAUUCCGAGUGUAGAGGUGAAAUUCGUAGAUAUUCGGAAGAACACCAGUGGCGAAGGCGGCUUACUGGCUCAUACUGGACGCUGAGGUGCGAAAGCGUGGGGAGCAAACAGGAUUAGAUACCCGAGUAGUCCCUGUCUCUUAUAC